rfam:Ixodes scapularis strain Wikel colony gcontig_1108379206696, whole genome shotgun sequence.
GCAGUCGUGGCCGAGUGGUUAAGGCAAUGGACUAGAAAUCCAUUGGGGUCUCCCCGCACAGGUUCGAAUCCUGUCGACUGCG